AUGAACGCUAGCGGCAGGCUUAAUACAUGCAAGUGAGGGGCGAGCAUGAUAUACGCGAGUAUAUUGAUGGCGACCGGCGGACGGGUGAGUAAUAGGUAGGAGACCUACCUCAGUACAGGGGGAUAGCAUAGAGAAAUCUGUGGUAAUACCCCAUGAGGUUAUAUGAAUAGAGGCAUAUAAUCAAAGCAUAAGCGAUUAUGCGGUAUGAGAGGGGCCUACUGACCAUUAGCUAGUUGGUGAGGUAAGGGCUCACCAAGGCGAAGAUGGUUAGGGGCUUUGAGAGAGAGACCCCCCCACAUUGGAACUGAGAGACGGUCCAGACUCCUACGGGAGGCAGCAGUAGGGAAUAUUGGGCAAUGGGCGAAAGCCUGACCCAGCCAUGCCGCGUGAAGGAAGACGGCCUUAUGGGUUGUAAACUUCUUUACUACGCGAAUAGAGGUUAGUACGAGAUACUAAUAGGAAGGUAGUGUAGUAAAAAAGCACCGGCUAACUCCGUG
rnacentral:rRNA from 1 species